rnacentral:ncRNA from 20 species
CGGCGAAACAAACCGACAGGUUCGACACCAGUUUGGUGUCAGGGAAGGGGGUGUAAAUCCCCCGCAGCCCCCGCUGCUGUGAUGCUGACGACCCCGCAAAAACCACUGAUCGAAAGAUUGGGAAGGGCGGGCGAGAACGAGGCUAAGCCAGAAGACCUGCCUGCCGGUAACUGACCAAC